AUGUUCAGCUUGUUGUUGAAAUGGACACUUUGCCUUCUCGGGCUCACAACGACGAGCAGCGCCUCACCUGACGAUGCACCGGCGGAUUUUGGAGGCGAGUCCGGCUCCGGGAUGCUGCGCGCAGAUGAGGUGAGCAUUCUGCAGGAGCUUUCUCUUCAGCUGUUGAACAGCAGUAACACCUCCAUGACUGUGGAUGACAGUAGGUGUCCGGUCCUACAGGUGGGGCAGUACUCCACCUUGGCUCUCCCUCUCCAACAGCUCCUCACUGACGGGUUUGCAGAUGAGUUCAGUUUGCUGGUGCAGCUGCGGAGUCCUCAGAGAGACGAACGCAGUGUCUUCACCAUGCUCAGCCCCGACAGCCACGUUAUGCUGCAGCUGCGGAUCAGUGCUUACGCCGUCAUCUUCAUAGGAACACAGCAACGACACUAUGAGUUCCCAGUCAGCGGUCUGUCUGAUGGAAAGUGGCACCAUGUGGCCAUCAGUGUGUCUGCCAAGCGGCUGGCGCUGUAUGUGGACUGCUCUCUGCUGGAGAGUGUGGACUGGGUUUACCAUGGCAUGGGGAUCAGCGCUGACGGCCUAUUCAUGGUGGGAGGCAUCAUUGAGGGCUUCGAGACUCCAUUUGAAAGGAAACACUGAUGAGUGUUUGGACAGAGG
rnacentral:lncRNA from 1 species